rnacentral:lncRNA from 1 species
UUUACUUAUCGAUAAAUUAUCUUGUAUGUCAUACAUCUUAUUAAUUGUAGUUUUAUUUAUUAAUUUGUAGCACAAAAGAACACAAAAUAUAUGGAAGCAAGAGAUGACAAGGAUCAAAGGAAAGAAACAAAAGAGCGAGUUCAAAGGGCAAGAUUGCUACGCGGUCGUGGAAGGUUUUCAAAUGUUUCAAGACAUUCCUAGCAACAUGGAGAUGCAUGAGUCACCAUUAACGGGAGCCGAUUGUGAAAGGAUGGCUUCACAAUCAACUCAAAAUGAAGAAGUUGAUGAGCCUUCUAUCAACUUGGCCCAAAAUAGUGAUGAGGAACCCCCGAAUCCAAAUGUGAGGCCUAUUGGAAGGAAUGCAACAAAAGAAGCCGCCCAGAAAGGAAAGAAGGCGGCCAAAGACGCGUGUCCCAUGACAUCCGCUGUUGUCACGAUUGCAACCAACCAAUCAUCAAUAUUGCAAUCGAGGGAGAAACGCGAUGAGGCAUACGCAAAACAAUUGCAAGAGCAACAACAACGAGAAUAUAUGCAAUUGCAAAUGGAUCUUCGAAAUGAGCACUUCAAACUCCAAGAGAGGGAAGAUCGUAUCAAAGAGAGAGAAGAAAAGAUUAUGGAGGUAAAUCCAAGUACUAUGUCACCGGGGCCUAGAAAAUAUUAUUGGCGGUUAAGACAAAAAGAAAUAGCGGAAAGGCAAGAAAAUACAACUAGCGGAUAUCCCCACACAUCCUUCCCCGGCGGAUAUCCCCAAACACCUUUUCCUGGUGGAUUUCCUCAAACACCUUUCCCCGGUGGAUUUCCUCAAACACCUUUCCCCGGUGGAUAUCCACAACCACCUUUCCCCGGGUUAUUACUUUCCUCAACCACCUUCGACUAGUGACUCAACCAACCCGACCAAUCUCAAUGACCCUUCAAACACCGAUUUCUUUUGUAAUGAGGAUGUCGAUAAUUAGACUUAGAAAUUUAAAUUAUUGUAUUUUUCUUUUCUUUUUUUCCUAGGCUUGUCUUGUCAAUUUAAGUCAUGUAAUAAAUAAAAUUAAUUUUAAUGUCAUUUUUUUUAAAAUUUAUCUAUCAUCUUUUUUAUAAUUUCAAUACGUUAUUCAUAAUUUUAAUAACACAUAAAAUCAUUAUUCACAUUCAAAAUACAUAAUAUAAAAUUCAAUAAACAGUCAUUGUCACGUGGCAACCCAGAAACAUAAAUCGUGGAUGGAAACUGUAGCCCAAAAUCACUGUCACGUGGCGACCCAGGUCUCGCCCAUAACCCAGGCCUUCCCAACGAAGACCCAGGGGGUGGACUUGCUCUAAGUAAUCAAUGACAAACCCAACAUUAUCGUCCUUAAUAUUAGCAUGGGCAAGCCAAGGAUUUUAGCUUGAAUCACUAGAGUUACUCAUGAUAAUUGAACAAAAAAACCUUUUUGAAAACUCAAUGUCUCUCUUUGAGAGAAUUAAUUGGUCGAUAUUUUAUAAUCCUGAUAUUUUUGACGAAUAAUUCAGUUAUAAAAAUAAUAAUUAUCAUGUGUCCCAUUAUCAUGUACCCUCGGAAAAAUUCGUUAGUAGUUGGUAACAUGGUACCAUUUCUCUGACGUAGUACAGUGAUAAUUUUCCCAUUUUUCCACAUCGAGAAAACGUCAAAAAUAUAAAAGGAAAAAUACUCUUACUUGUUUUGCUA